rnacentral:rRNA from 1 species
AUAUGCCUUUUGGUGGGGGACAACAGUUGGAAACGACUGCUAAUACCGCAUGAUGUCUACGGACCAAAGUGGGGGACCUUCGGGCCUCACGCCAAAAGAUUAGCCCAAGUGGGAUUAGCUAGUUGGUAAGGUAAUGGCUUACCAAGGCAACGAUCCCUAGCUGGUUUGAGAGGAUGAUCAGCCACACUGGGACUGAGACACGGCCCAGACUCCUACGGGAGGCAGCAGUGGGGAAUAUUGCACAAUGGGCGAAAGCCUGAUGCAGCCAUGCCGCGUGUGUGAAGAAGGCCUUCGGGUUGUAAAGCACUUUCAGUAAGGAGGAAAGGGAUGUAGUUAAUAGCUGCAUUCUGUGACGUUACUUACAGAAGAAGCACCGGCUAACUUCGUGCCAGCAGCCGCGGUAAUACGAGGGGUGCAAGCGUUAAUCGGAAUUACUGGGCGUAAAGCGUUCGUAGGCGGUUAUUUAAGCAAGAUGUGAAAGCCCAGGGCUCAACCUUGGAACUGCAUUUUGAACUGGAUGACUAGAGUACUGUAGAGGGUGGUGGAAUUUCCAGUGUAGCGGUGAAAUGCGUAGAGAUUGGAAGGAACAUCAGUGGCGAAGGCGGCCACCUGGACAGAUACUGACGCUGAGGAACGAAAGCGUGGGGAGCGAACAG